UGCUUCUGGGACGUGGUGCUGUCGUUCCCUCUGGAGCUGCAGAAGAAGAUGCUCCACUUCGCCACAGGAAGUGACCGCGUGCCCGUCGGAGGAAUGGCCGACCUCAACUUCAAAAUCUCCAAGAUCGACGUUCCCACUGACUGGCUGCCGAUCUCACACACGUGUUUCAAUCAGAUCUGCCUCCCUCCGUACAGAAACAGGAAGGAGCUCAAACACAAACUGACCAUCGCCAUCUCCAACGCUGAGGGCUUCGGCCUGGAGUGAUACACACACACACGCACACACACGCACACGCACACACACACGCACACACACACACGCGCACACACACGUGAGGUGGAUCCGAUUGUGGAGUUUUACAAUGCGUGCUUCUUAUUGUCGGACAUUAUUAUGGGCUGUAAUGCAGUGUGUGUGUGUGUGUGUGUUUGUGUGUGUUUUAUGUGUCCGUGUUGCAGCAGAUAAGGUGGUAACUUCCCGCUGCAACAUCUACACACACACCAAAAUGUAUUUUAUUUGCACAUGGACCAUAUUACAAAACAACACUGACGUUGUAGGUUUAAAAAGAUGUCACUCUUUCUUUCAGCCUUGCAGAAACUCUACAUUAAAAAAAAUAUUUAAUAUUUCUGUUCCCAGACCAAGUGUGUGUGUCAACAGCCUUUUAAAUGAUACUAGGUCGCUAGUUUGCUAAGGUAAAUAUUAUUAUUACUAUUAUUUUAAUUGAUAAUAACAGUAUUUUUAUUUUUGUAUUAAUAUGUUUUAAAAAGUACAUUUUUAUUUUUUAUGAAUAAUAAUUUGUAUUUUGACUAUUUUCAAUUAUUAAUUUUGAUCAAUAAUAAUUAAUAUCAAUUUUAUUUUUAAACGAAUAACAAUAAUAUUUAUAAUAAAGAGUCACUCUGCAUCAAGGUGUGAGGUAAAGAAAUCAAAAUACAGACGUAAAUAUUGUUACUAAAACACAUGAAUAUAUUUCUGGAUUUGAGUUGUAAUAUUUCCUGUUUCCUGCUUUAGCGAUGCUGUAAAUACGUGUAUGAAGGCACGGCGUUUUGUAUCAGUUACGGCCCGUCCACACUACGGCUUCAAAAAAAGCUUGGAGCUGGGCGUGUCUGAAGCUCGACCAACAACCAAUCACAUGAAUCUCCCGCCCCUGACACACAAGCAGCGGUUUGAUUGGCUAGAGCUUGUACUGGCAUAUGAUUCGAUUGGCUGACGCUUCCACCGAAAGCUUCAGAAGCUUCAAAAGUUGAACAUUGCUCAACUUUUGCAGCCUGAAACGCCAGGAAAGCUCCGCUCUGCUUCCCACAAUGCAGUUCGGCGAAAAGUGAUGUCACCCCAUUCAAAGUGAAUGGGCAGACACGUUGGAAACCGUUUUUGAAGCUGUCGAAGCUGUAGUGUGGACGGCCGUUAUAUUGUUGUGUGCAGCUCACUGUCAGGAUAUCAAGCUUUGCUGGGAGGAUCAUGAGAUGCCUUACGUUGUUGUAUUGUUUUUGUUGACAUUGCUGCCUGUUUAAGUAAACAAAAGGCCGCAGCAGAACGUUUUCAUUGUGUUUUAAAUGUUAUGAUGUUCAACCCGAGAGGCUGACUGACGGUUUGGUGUUUGUUCUGGUAAUGUUGUUGUUGUGUUGUAUCAUGGCUGUCGUCGUUAUUGACAAGUCGUUGUUUCAGAUGUGGCGCAGGGAUGAGUCCUAAAACCCAGACAUUACUUAGCAUGUUUGCACUUCCUGUCCAAACGUCGGUUGCUAACAAGUGUCUAUUGAUUUGAUGAGACGAUUAAACGUCAUCACCCCCAACAUUAGCCACCUUUAGCUUAGCGGUGGUGACGUGAAGUCAUGUGACCGUGCUGUAGUUCCUUUAUAGCACAACGUUAGCCACCUUUAGCUUAGCGGUGGUGACGUGAAGUCAUGUGACCGUGCUGUAGUUCCUUUAUAGCCCAACAUUAGCCACCUUUAGCUUAGCGGUGGUGACGUGAAGUCAUGUGACCAUGCUGCUUACACAUCAUUGGACUUAAAAUCAACAAAUGUAUCUUUUAGGAUCGGCUCCUAUUUGUGUAAUCUCAAUGCAUUGAUUAGAUUCCACUUUAUUGUUAUUACACGUAGUACAACACGAUGUAAUGUGCUCCCAGACAGAAAAUGCAAAGAGUGGAUAAAGUGCAUGACUUUCUGCCUCUAGUGAAGCUUUCUUUAACUUGUCCUGACUUCUCUGUCACACUCACAGCAGUUUUAAACGCUCUGCAGCGUCCUAUAGGGUUGCCAUGACGACUGGCAAGCUUUCCAGACCAAACUGGCACAACACGGACAUUACCGAGCAACGCAGAAGCAUGUCAGCCUGAUCUGGGUCACUCAAUGACCAGCUGCUUAUUCAACAAUGGGUCCUUUCUGAAACCCAAGGGCGAGUCCAGAUAAAAACAGCAAGCAGCUCGUCUGAUGCCACGUUCAAAUCCCGUCUGUAAAAACCAACUCUGAAAAUACAUGUUAUGGCAUGGGAAACAUGGGACAUUUUUCAUUGAUUCGAUUUAUUUCGAACGUGUAAAACAACAUAUAUGAAAUGAAACGAGAGAAUCAUGACACUGCACACACUUAAGCAGUUAUCAAAUUAUAAACAAAAAUGUUAUUAACUUACAAAUGAUAUAUAAACAAUUGAUCUACGUAAUUACACAUCCGAAAAGGGGUUGGAAGAAGUCUACACUUAUGUAAUCCCACCCCUUCUCCCAGAUUCAAAUGAUUCACUUCUUUUCAGUGUGAUAAGGUGAACGUGUUUUGCAAAGUGUUCAUGGGACCAAACUGUGUCGGGUUAUACAGUGGGAAGGGAGUGAAGAAUCGGUUUGAAAAUAGUUCGGACUGGUUCGUCGAGAUGUAAUUAUGUUCACUUUGUUGGAUGUUUGAAAUGUGCAGACAGCAUUUAGAAGUAGAGAGCGGUCAUGUGUUGAUGAUGUGUGUUUUUCUAUUAUUAUUUAACAAAUAUAAAUCAGUGUCUGUUUA